AUCCUAUGUACAUCCUCACACUCCACCAAGCAGAUGAGAUUAUGACUGCUCAAGGAGGUGAAGCUAAGGGUAAUUAUAAACUUGAUAAUAUUGAGUUAGAAUAUGAGACCAUUGAGAAUGACACCCUUGCGAGUGAAGUAUCAAGGAUGUAUUCAACGGGUCGCUCACUGUCUUACAAACACGUCACACUUAUGCGUACAAGUAAUUGGGACAAAGA
rnacentral:lncRNA from 1 species